rnacentral:rRNA from 1 species
ACGUAGGGUGCAAGCGUUAAUCUUAAUUACUUUUCUUCCCUCGUGCGCAGGCGGUUUGAAAAGUCAGCUGUGAAAGCCCCGGGCUCAACCUGGGAACUGCGGUUGAAACUCUCAAGCUAGAGUGCGUCAGAGGGGGGUGGAAUUCCACGUGUAGCAGUGAAAUGCGUAGAGAUGUGGAGGAACACCAAUGGCGAAGGCAGCCCCCUGGGAUGACACUGACGCUCAUGCACGAAAGCGUGGGGAGCAAACAG